rnacentral:rRNA from 1 species
GAUGAACGCUGGCGGCGUGCCUAAUACAUGCAAGUCGAGCGAACAGACGAGGAGCUUGCUCCUUUGACGUUAGCGGCGGACGGGUGAGUAACACGUGGAUAACCUACCUAUAAGACUGGGAUAACUUCGGGAAACCGGAGCUAAUACCGGAUAACAUGUUGAACCGCAUGGUUCAACAGUGAAAGACGGUCUUGCUGUCACUUAUAGAUGGAUCCGCGCCGCAUUAGCUAGUUGGUAAGGUACCGGCUUACCAAGGCAACGAUGCGUAGCCGACCUGAGAGGGUGAUCGGCCACACUGGAACUGAGACACGGUCCAGACUCCUACGGGAGGCAGCAGUAGGGAAUCUUCCGCAAAGGGCGAAAGCCUGACGGAGCAACGCCGCGUGAGUGAAGAAGGUCUUCGGAUCGUAAAACUCUGUUAUUAGGGAAGAACAAAUGUGUAAGUAACUAUGCACGUCUUGACGGUACCUAAUCAGAAAGCCACGGCUAACUACGUG